rnacentral:lncRNA from 1 species
AUGAAUAAGCAUCCCAUUGGCCAGCCUAGGAAAGCUGAUACUCUUUUACAACUUAGAAAUUCUGUUCAAAAUGGAUGUUUUCUGCAUGCAUCUAACAACAACAACAACAAAAAGCCUGAAAAAUCCACUGUAUACAUGGCUGUCUGUGAGAGCACAGCAGAUGGGGGAGAUUCUCACUUGAAGAUUAGCCCACCAGAAGCUGGAGAGAAACCACUGCCAAAAUCUCACCACGUCAUUGUUAUUCAAUGCGAUCCUCCAUUCAAAGAAGAUGCCUUCUGUAAGAAACCACUUUUGGGGAGAAACCUAAUUUUAGAAUGGCUAUACUACAAACAUACUGAAUGCAGAAGCAAAACCUCAGAUCCCAUUUUUUGUACAUUUUCAUAAAUACCAUUCCCUUUCAUGGCUUGUCUCUUUGCCAAAAGAAUGGCACGGCAGCUAACCUCCUUCGCUACUUCUAAGCAAAUGGUUCUUUGCUAUCUAGCGUGCGUUUGAAGGUGUGGUGAAAGAUCUUACAAGUUCCAAAUCAUGCCAACUUCAUUCACAUCACUGAGAGAAACAUAUGGCCAUUUGCACUGGAAUGAUCUAGUCCAAUUUUUCCCUUUUCAGAUUAGGAAACUGAGAUCCUAGUAUCUAAUACAAGGUUUAGAAUCUAGGUCUUUGAGAUGUCGAUGCUUUAUUCUCUGAAAUCUUCCCCCUAAACUAGGUUCUGCCUGAGGAAAAAGCCCUGGCAGAAAUGACGUGAUGUGUUACCACUUGUUCGGAAAGGCUCAGGAAACUCUACCCCUAGAACAGAGCUGCCUUCCUCCAGAAACAACUUCUUUUUGUUCAUUUCUUCUAGUCCAUUCACACCGAAGCAAGAUUUUUUUUUUUUCCACUG